rnacentral:lncRNA from 1 species
AUGCUGCGGGUGCUGCAGCCGGCUGGGGCUCACAUUGGGGUCAGGGCCCAUCUGCCGGGGCAGGAUGUGGGGCCGGAUGGGGGACACAAUGCGGGGAAGCGGCGAGGGGCGAGCAGGGACAGGGACAUCCCACAGCAGCGUGCACGGCCUCGCUCCCGGCACACCCAAAAACCUCAGCGGAGCCCAGCCAGGGGCGAGCGCGGUGCCAGCGGUGGCCAUGCCCCAGCGGGCGCAGCGUGGCCGGAGGCAUCCCCGUGCCCCGCAUCCCCACACCGGGUGCUCCUGUACCUGCCUGGCCCCGGGGGGGGGACGGGACCGGCCUGCAGCAGCCUGUCCGCAGGGAGCCGGGACGCGAAGGAGCUGGUCGGGGCGGCAGCGGGGUCCGCUCAGCCCACACAGGUGUGGCCGCGCCGGCGGCAGGCAGCGAAGCUCCGCGCCCGGCUGGCCCCGUCUUGCUGGGUGGCAGCAGCCGCCCUCCCCGCGCUCUCCUCCCCGGGGCAGGCACACCCUGUCAUUACGCCCCACAGCAGCUGCCGGCGCUGCCCGGGAAGGGAGGGGGCGGCGGGGCCAGGGCAGAGCCGGCCUGGUGGGGACGGGAGGAUGGGGACGGGAGGAUGGGGACGGGAGGAUGGGGAUGGGAGGAUGGGGAUGGGAGGAUGGGGAUGGGAGGAUGGGGAGCCCUCGCCCCAGCAGGGCAGGGAGCGGGCACGCAGCCUCACCUGCCCAGGCAGGAGGGUGCUGGGGACCCGCGUCCCCUCCCCGCCGGGGCACCCCGUGGUCUCGCGGCCCCGCCGUGGCCUUGGCACGAGGGGGGGAAGCAGCCGGGGUCACGGCGAGCAGCUGCCGGGGACGUGCCCGCGGGGCCGCGGGCGCACAAUGCCCCCAUUGAGGUCCCGCGGGGGGGGGGGGGCGGCCCAGGGGGGGGGUGGCAGAAGGGACUCCAGUGUCACGCCAGGCCUCAAUCCCGGCUAUUUAUACCCGGCCGGGGGGUGGCCGCUCCUGCACACAGGCGGCCUUUGA